rnacentral:rRNA from 1 species
GACGAACGCUGGCGGCGUGCCUAAUACAUGCAAGUCGAACGCAGUGGGGACGGGUGAGUAACACGUGGGUAACCUCCCAUCAGAGGGGAUAACACUUGGAAACAGGUGCUAAACCGAUACUGAUGGAUGGACCCGCGGUGCAUUAGCUAGUUGGUGAGGUAACGGCUCACCAAGGCCACGAGGCAUAGCCGCUCUGAGAGGUGGAUCAGCCACACUGGAACUGAGACACGGCCCAGACUCCUACGGGAGGCAGCAGUAGGGAAUCUUCCGCAAUGGACGAAAGUCUGACCGAGCAACGCCGCGUGAGUGAAGAAGGUUUUCGGAUCGUAAAGCUCUUUUGUUAGAGAAGCGGUAUCUAACCAGAAAGCCACGGCUAACUCCGUGCCAGCCGCCGCGGUAAUUC